AUGAAUCCCAGAGAUUCCGACGACGACCGCCCCGGGGCGGCGGCGGGUUCGUCUUCGGCGGCCACGGAGCAGCAGCAAUCGCUCGAGUGGAGGUUCGCGCAGGUCUUCGGCGAGCGCGCGGCGGGCGAGGACGUGCAGGAAGUUGACAUCAUCUCUGCAAUCGAGUUUGAUAAAUCUGGUGAUCAUCUUGCCACCGGAGACAGAGGAGGACGUGUUGUUUUAUUUGAGAGAACAGAUGUUCGGGAUGAGCAUGCUAAUCGAAGAGAACUGGAGAGACAGGAUGUUCCAAUUACUAGACAUCCCGAGUUCCGCUAUAAAACGGAGUUUCAGAGUCAUGAACCUGAGUUUGACUACCUCAAAAGUUUGGAAAUAGAGGAGAAGAUCAACAAGAUCAAGUGGUGCCAGACAGCCAACAAUGCACUCUUUCUACUGUCCACAAAUGAUAAGACGAUCAAAUACUGGAAGGUGCAAGAGAAAAAAGUAAAACAAGUUUCAGUUAUGGCUUUGGACACUUCCCGAACUGUAGGGGAUGGUACCACUAGUCGUGCAAGUACCAGUACUUCCGAGCCUCCUCUUCCAAAUGGUGGAUGUUCAAAAAAGUCUGAUAGCCUCAACAGUGAUCUCCUAUUUCCACCUGGAGGUUACCCAUCGCUGCGUUUACCUGUGGUUACUAGUCAAGAUGUGAACCUUGUUGCUAGAUGUCGACGUGUAUAUGCCCAUGCUCAUGAUUACCAUAUUAAUUCUAUUUCGAAUAAUAGUGAUGGUGAAACUUUUAUAUCAGCAGAUGAUCUGCGAAUAAAUCUAUGGAAUUUGGAAAUAAACAGCCAGAGCUUUAACAUUGUUGAUGUGAAGCCUACAAACAUGGAAGAUCUAACAGAGGUGAUUACUUGUGCGGAGUUCCACCCCACUCAUUGUAAUACACUGGCAUAUAGUAGCUCAAAGGGUUCUAUCCGGCUAAUCGAUCUGCGACAAUCUGCAUUGUGUGACAACCAUUCCAAGAUAUUUGAGGAACAUGAAGCACCCGGAGCAAGAUCGUUCUUUACGGAGAUAAUAGCAUCAAUUUCAGAUGUAAAGUUUUCAAGGGACGGAAGAUAUCUUCUUAGUCGUGAUUAUAUGACUCUCAAACUAUGGGAUCUAAACAUGGAUUCAGGCCCUGUUUCAACCUUCCAGGUCCAUGAACAUCUAAGACCAAGGCUUUGUGAUCUGUAUGAGAACGACUCAAUAUUUGACAAGUUUGAGUGUUGUCUUAGUGGGGAUGGACUUCAUGUUGCAACUGGCUCUUAUGGUAAUCUAUUCCGUGUUUUUGGUUCUACUCCUGGUAGCAUGGAGGUGACCACUUUGGAAGCCAGCAGGAACCCGAUGAGACGUCAGAUUGCAAACCCGACCAGACCCACUCGGGGGACGCUGACCUCUAUGACCCGUGGUGUGCGAAGAGGUGGGGAAAAUCUAGGUGUUGAUGCCAAUGGAAACUCAUUAGACUUCUCGACGAAGUUACUCCACCUCGCAUGGCACCCCACUGAGAAUUCCAUCGCAUGCGCUGCUGCAAAUAGCCUGUAUAUGUAUUAUGCAUAG
rnacentral:rRNA from 1 species